GUCGAGCGGAUGAGGGAGCUUGCUCCUGGAUUCAGCGGCGGACGGGUGAGUAAUGCCUAGGAAUCUGCCUGGUAGUGGGGGAUAACGUCCGGAAACGGGCGCUAAUACCGCAUACGUCCUGAGGGAGAAAGUGGGGGAUCUUCGGACCUCACGCUAUCAGAUGAGCCUAGGUCGGAUUAGCUAGUUGGUGGGGUAAAGGCCUACCAAGGCGACGAUCCGUAACUGGUCUGAGAGGAUGAUCAGUCACACUGGAACUGAGACACGGUCCAGACUCCUACGGGAGGCAGCAGUGGGGAAUAUUGGACAAUGGGCGAAAGCCUGAUCCAGCCAUGCCGCGUGUGUGAAGAAGGUCUUCGGAUUGUAAAGCACUUUAAGUUGGGAGGAAGGGCAGUAAGUUAAUACCUUGCUGUUUUGACGUUACCAACAGAAUAAGCACCGGCUAACUUCGUGCCAGCAGCCGCGGUAAUACGAAGGGUGCAAGCGUUAAUCGGAAUUACUGGGCGUAAAGCGCGCGUAGGUGGUUCAGCAAGUUGGAUGUGAAAUCCCCGGGCUCAACCUGGGAACUGCAUCCAAAACUACUGAGCUAGAGUACGGUAGAGGGUGGUGGAAUUUCCUGUGUAGCGGUGAAAUGCGUAGAUAUAGGAAGGAACACCAGUGGCGAAGGCGACCACCUGGACUGAUACUGACACUGAGGUGCGAAAGCGUGGGGGAGCAAACAGGAUUAGAUACCCUGGUAGUCCACGCCGUAAACGAUGUCGACUAGCCGUUGGGAUCCUUGAGAUCUUAGUGGCGCAGCUAACGCGAUAAGUCGACCGCCUGGGGAGUACGGCCGCAAGGUUAAAACUCAAAUGAAUUGACGGGGGCCCGCACAAGCGGUGGAGCA
rnacentral:rRNA from 1 species